GAUUUCUGGCGAACCGGGUCAACCCGAUUCCUUAUGGGAUUGAGUGCUGAGUCGUGUUUGUCAUCCUUCCGGAAAGCUGCGUCUACCAUUCAGUUGGCCGGACGUACGUGAUCCGGAUCUAUUACUUUGAAAAAAUUAGAGUGUUUAAAGCAGGCUUACGCUAUGAAUACAUUAGCAUGGAAUAAUAAUUUAGGACUUUGGUUCUAUUUUGUUGGUUUCUAGGACUGAAGUAAUGAUUGAUAGGGAUAGUUGGGGGUGCUAGUAUUCCGUGGCCAGAGGUGAAAUUCUUGGAUUCCCGGAAGACUAACUACUGCGAAAGCAUU
rnacentral:rRNA from 1 species